CCUACGGGGAGCAGCAGUGGGGAAUAUUGGGCAAUGGGCGCAAGCCUGACCCAGCAACGCCGCGUGAAGGAAGAAGGCUUUCGGGUUGUAAACUUCUUUUCUCAGGGACGAAGCAAGUGACGGUACCUGAGGAAUAAGCCACGGCUAACUACGUGCCAGCAGCCGCGGUAAUUCGUAGGUGGCAAGCGUUAUCCGGAUUUACUGGGUGUAAAGGGCGUGUAGGCGGGGACGCAAGUCAGAUGUGAAAACCACGGGCUCAACCUGUGGCCUGCAUUUGAAACUGUGUUUCUUGAGUACAGGAGAGGUAAGUGGAAUUCCUAGUGUAGCGGUGAAAUGCGUAGAUAUUAGGAGGAACACCAGUGGCGAAGGCGGCUUACUGGACUGUAACUGACGUUGAGGCUCGAAAGCGUGGGGAGCAAACAGGAUUAGAUACCCUAGUAGUC
rnacentral:rRNA from 1 species